CCCUCAGGUGGGGAAUAACGAGCCGAAAGGUUCGCUAAUACCGCAUAAGACCACGAUUUCUGCGGAAAUUGAGGUCAAAGGAGGCUGUCGCAGGGCAGCUUUCGCCAGAGGAUCGGCUCGCGGACCAUUAGCUAGAUGGCGGGGUAAUGGCCCACCAUGGCUACGAUGGUUAGCUGGUCUGAGAGGACGACCAGCCACACUGGAACUGACACACGGUCCAG
rnacentral:rRNA from 1 species